rnacentral:rRNA from 1 species
GACAGAGGGUGCUAGCGUUGUUCGGAAUGACUGGGCGUAAAGGGCGCGUAGGCGGACAUAUUAGUCAGGCGUGAAAGCCCCGGGCUUAACCUGGGAAUAGCGCAUGAAACGGUAUGACUAGAGGACGAGAGAGGAAAGCGGAAUUCCUAGUGUAGAGGUGAAAUUCGUAGAUAUUAGGAGGAACAUCAGAGGCGAAGGCGGCUUUCUGGCUCGGAACUGACGCUGAGGCGCGAAAGCGUGGGGAGCAAACAGG